UUGUAUGGUAGCUUUUUAAUAUUUUUUAAGGAACCUCUAUAAAUUAAUUAGAUAUGUAACUAGUUUGUUUUGCUUAUACUUAAUAAAACUUUUCUAUACCUGGCAUCACAAAUCAGAAAAGUUCUUUGUCAGUGUAGAAAACAUAACCUCCAGAGCUUCAUGUCACUUUGGGCACAAGAAUAGACAAGGCAUAGGUAAGCAGAACCACCAGCCAGAUAAGCUAAUGAUUAUUUCAGCUGCUACAAGGGCUAGGCAUGGAAAAGAAGGUUGGAAAAGUAGCACUCUCUAGGAAUUUUAAUUAACAUACAAAGAUCUGACAUUAGCACAAAUCUGGAAAUAAACUUAAGGAAAAGCGUCUCCUGUCUGCUACACUUCUUGAAAUUCCCUCCUCUUAGGAGGGUCAGGCUUAAGGCUACAUCUUCUGACCUGCUGAACAACAACGCAACAAAAACCCAGAUCCACUGAUAUUUCCACAUUGCUUAACAUUUAUUUUUUAGAGUUGUUGGAAGUUAGCAAAUAUUUGGCAAGGUUUCUGGACAAAAUGGCACCAGAUACUCUCUUGCCCCUUCUUGAAUAUUUGCUGAUAGAAGGGGAAGGAAAUUGCAGGACAUUUUUCUAAGUACUGAACUUGGACAUUGCCUGAUUUAAGUGGGAUGUGACAAAUGAAAUCCUUAAGAUCCUCUAAUAAAAUAUCUUCUUUAUUCCAUACUCUUUACAUUACUCUAGAACCUCCAAGAGCCCUUGACAUGUUAAACAUAGCAAUAGGUUUUUGUUGCCACAAAAGGCAAUAUAAUUCUAAUCACAGUAGCAGGUGCCGGAUUCCCCAUGUUGAGUCAGAGAGGUCAAGAUUGUAGGACAAGGUCUGUGAACCUGAUUCUAGAUUCAGGCAGAUCUGAGUUCAAAUUCUAAUGUCAUCUAAACUUUAAAAAUGACCUUUCAUGAGCAUUCUGAGUCUCUUGUGUGCAUUCUCUCAUUUAAUUGAGACAACCAUCUCAUGAGACAUGUAAAUGACUUGCCUGUGGACAUGCUGAUUAAUGGGGCAGCCAGGAUUUAAACUCUGACUCCAGAUCCUGCACCCUUAACCACUGUCCUCUAUGGUCUUACACAUGAAAUGUAAUAUAACUUGGUUUCAGUUAUACUUCCCCCCCUCCACCUUUAGAAUUCCAUGAACAUGGUUCUAGUGUCUUCUGAUGUUUAUUAUUGCAGUUUUUUUUUAAACUUUAAACUUUAUUACGGUGUUUAAAUGCCAGACUGAAAGAAGCAAACUACAGUCGACCCUUGAACAGUGAGAUGAGGGGUGGGGUAUGUUAGGGUUGCUAACUCUCUGCCCAGUCAAAAAUUCACGUAUAAUUUAUAGUUGGUCUUCCAUAUUAGAGGUUCCUCCUUUCCACUGGUCCACUUUGCAGAAGUAUGAGGUCAGUCUUAUUUGGAUAUAUUUAUAAUUAUUUUUUAUUUAUUUGCUUUGAUUUAGUUUAAUUUUGUUUUGGCUGCAUCCUUAAAUAAUUCCCAUUGUCUCAGAAACACAAAAGUUUUGUCAGGAGAAACAUGGAUGCUUUUUUUUUUUUUUCUUAAUUUAGUUUAGAUCUUAAUGAAUUCAUUGUCCACUGGGUUUUUCUUUUUUCUUUUUUUUUCUUUUUUCUUAUUUAUGCAAAGUUUCUUUAGCUGUAACCCUUUGUUUCAUGUCUUGUCCAGUUCUUCUAGUUUCUUAUUCCACAAUAGCAAAGCAUCUUAGGUUCAAUCUCUAUUCUUAUUCCUUUAUCUGUACUAUUCUUUUUCAUUUUUUCCUCUAAAUUUUGUGUAAACUUCUGAAUGUUCUGAUGUUCUGAAUUAGAUUUAUUCUAGUGUUAAUUUUGCUAAUCAUUAAUUUCUGGUUAUCAUAUUUUCUUUUGCAAGUAAUAUUUUAUUAAAACACAGUCCUGGCUAUUUGUUAUGUAUUGUUUUUGGCUGCUUUCAGAUUACAAUGACAUAGUUGAAUAGUUACAACAGACUAUACACCCACAAAACCUGUAAAAUUUACUAUGUGACCCUUUAUAAAAAAGGUUUGUUGACCUGAACAUUUAAAUAAGUGUCUUAAUAUCACUGAAUAUCUAGCAAUAUUCAGUUUUCCUUGAUUGUGUUAUACUUUUUAAAUUGAGAUAUAAUUGACAUAUAAAAUAUUAGCUUCCAGUGUACAACAUAAUGAUUCGAUAUAUGUAUGGAUUGCAAAAUGAUCUCAAUAAGUCUAGUUAACAUCCAUCACCAAACAUAGUUAUAAUCCCAGUUACCUCUUCAUUAUGCUGUAGAAGUUUCAAUUUCCUUGAAACUAUCUACAUUUCACCAAGUUCAUUUUAAUUUCUUCUUUUUACUUUAGUGCUUUUUGCGUUUCAUUUUAAUAGUCUUUUAAUCUCAUUAUGCUUAUUACUUUCCAAUUCAUUUCAACAGAGACAUGGCUCUUUAUAUCCUUUAGAGAACACCAAUGGCUUUCUAAAUAUUUUCUAGUUUCUAGAGUAAAUCAUUUUCAGAAGUUUGCUGUUAUUUGGAGUCUGCAGGAUCAUGGUUACUUUCCUUGUUCUACAGUAUUUUUAAAAAUUAGGCCUCAUACGUUGGGGUUUUCUCUUUGAAGGCAAUGGCAACCCACUCCAGUGUUCUUGCCUGGAGAAUCCCAGGGAUGGGGGAGCCUGGUGGGCUGCCGUCCAUGGGGUCGCACAGAGUCGGACACGACUACAGCGACUUAGCAGCAGCCGCCGCAGCAGUGUCAAAUGAGAAACUGUUCACAUUCAAUACAACAUAGUAGAUGAAUUUAAUAGGCUUCUUUGGCCCUCCUCACUGCUUAUUCAGCCCCUCAGUCAAGGGGUGAGUGACAACUCCUACCAAUUGGUGCUCCUUAGACAUUUUCCUGGUGCCUCUCAGUUGGGACCACUUCAUAGGUGGGAUUGUCCCAUCACAACUGUUGGAUAUGAGACACUAUAUUGGUGUAGUGUGUCAUAAUGGGUUCACUUGCUGACCUGAAACAGACUGCCAGAUAUUUCUCCAGAAUAGACAGGUUUAUUCAGGAUCAAUAGAGAUUUGUAAUUUGUGGUCUCCAAUCAUGGAGUUGUGAUCUCUGCAUAGACACAGAAAAGCAAUAUGAGGUCAUGGCAUCAUGAGAAGCAAAGAAGGCUUAGGAAAGAGCUGAGAGGAACACCUACAUUUACAGAGGGAAGAGCCCUAAAAGGAGCCUUAGAAGAAAUUCUAAGUAAGGUAGAAGACAAGCUAGAAGAUUGUGGUCUUAGCAACAAAGUGAAGAUGAUGUUUCCAGGGAGAUGGCAUAAUCAGCAUCUCACAUGCUGUUGAGAAAGGCUUGUGUGCUAUCUACCUGCACUAUUGAAAAUAGAAAUUUGCCAUUUCAGAAAAAGGAAAAAAAAAAGCCAUCAAUACUAUCUUGGAAACAAGACACAGCUAGCUUCCUCAUAUGUACUUCUAACCUCAGCUGCUGCUCUCAGGGGCGCUGUGAAGAGUUUAGUGUCAUCUGGGAACUACAGCAAUUAGGGAGAAUGACAGUUAUGGCUGAAUGAUAAAUAAACGAGGAGAAAAUUG